GACGAACGCUGGCGGCGUGCUUAACACAUGCAAGUCGAACGGAAAGGCCCCUUUCGGGGGGUACUCGAGUGGCGAACGGGUGAGUAACACGUGAGUAGCCUGCCCUUGACUUUGGGAUAACUUCAGGAAACUGGGGCUAAUACCGGAUAGGAGCUCCUGCUGCAUGGUGGGGGUUGGAAAGUUUCGGCGGUUGGGGAUGGACUCGCGGCUUAUCAGCUUGUUGGUGGGGUAGUGGCUUACCAAGGCUUUGACGGGUAGCCGGCCUGAGAGGGUGACCGGCCACAUUGGGACUGAGAUACGGCCCAGACUCCUACGGGAGGCAGCAGUGGGGAAUAUUGCACAAUGGGUGGAAGCCUGAUGCAGCAACGCCGUGUGCGGGAUGACGGCCUUCGGGUUGUAAACCGCUUUCGCUCAUGACGAAGCUUUGUGUGACGGUAGUGGGUAAAGAAGCACCGGCUAACUACGUG
rnacentral:rRNA from 1 species